rnacentral:rRNA from 1 species
UACGUAGGUGGCAAGCGUUGUCCGGAAUCAUUGGGCGUAAAGCGCGCGUAGGUGGCCUCAUAAGUCCGUUGUGAAAGUCAAAGGCUCAACCUUUGAAAGCCGAUGGAUACUGUGAGACUAGAGUACGGAAGAGGCGAGUGGAAUUCCUGGUGUAGCGGUGGAAUGCGCAGAUAUCAGGAGGAACACCAAUAGCGAAGGCAGCUCGCUGGGACGAUACUGACGCUAAGGCGCGAAAGCGUGGGGAGCGAACAGG